UACGUAGGGUGCAAGCGUUGUCCGGAAUUAUUGGGCGUAAAGGGCUCGUAGGCGGUCCAUCGCGUCGGGAGUGAAAAGCUGGGGCUCAACCCCAGUCCUGCUUUCGAUACGGGUGGACUAGAGGUAUGCAGGGGAGAACGGAAUUCCUGGUGUAGCGGUGAAAUGCGCAGAUAUCAGGAGGAACACCGGUGGCGAAGGCGGUUCUCUGGGCAUUACCUGACGCUGAGGAGCAAAAGCGUGGGGAGCAAACAGG
rnacentral:rRNA from 1 species